UCUUGCAAGCUGAGGUUUAUUGGCUGUGUGAGAGCAUUGUUUGUUCACAGGCUUCGGAAUUGUUGAGUCUAUGGAGGUCCUGUAAUGAAUUCAAUUCUGUUCGAGCAAGUUGAGGGGUGUGUUUUCGUAAUGGCGUCUCAUCAGAUUCGAAUUCAUCAUGCCAAGGCCACUGAUUUUUAUCUUAGAGUCAGGAGCAGGCCCAUAAUCGAGGACAAUAAUGGUGUGAGGUUUCCUUCUUAUUAAAUUUUGUGCUAUAAUUAUGUGCUUGUGGUGGUAGCCAAGUGAGUUCUAAUUCUGAUAAUAACUACAGAAGCUACAAAUCUAGAGACUUUGUUCCUUUAUAUGUCAGUAAAAUGGGGCCAUUUCAAAAUCCCAGUGAAACAUACCACUAUUUUGAUCUUCCAUUCUGUAAACCAGCGGAAGCAAUUUCAUUGGGUACUUCAACUUUAUGGGUGACACAUGGUAAAACAUUUGAGACAUGGAUUUUUCCGCUUGCCCAUUUGCUUUGUGGCUAUUGCACAGAUGUAAUUCUAAGGUAUAUAUGUUCUUUUGAAGUUUAUGUGGUAUAUCUAGAUUUAUUAUUAUAAUUUAUAAAAAAAAGCCUUUGGUCAAAUUUUUUUCUUCAAGAUUAUCAUAAUAAUAUAACAACAAAUUUAUUAGAUUGUAUUUCCUGCUUUCAAAUUAUGCCAGGAGAUUGUGUUUUUGAAAGUUGAAGUUGUAGAGCUUCUAUUACCAAGUAUUUUUGUAAACCUAGCCAGGAGGAGAGACUUAGAUAUUGAUAUUCACUAAUUGAUAUCCUUGCAGGUUUUUUUUUCUUCUUUCUCUUUUUUCAUUAGUUUAUUUUUUGUUUUCUGUCAUUUCAUGUAUUGAAACUAUAAUAAUGCUGAAUGAUUGUUGUAAUUUUUUAUUUUUUAAAAAUAAAUGACCUUUGUAUGAAAUUAAAUAUAGGAAACAGAUAACUCUAAGCAACUUAAUCAAGUUCUGAUUUCUAGGAAAUAAAAUCAUUAUUAAAACCAGUUUAUUAGAGUCAACAAUCUAUAUAAAAUCUCAUUUUUGUGAUAUGUUAAUGUGUUUUUAUUACAAUAAUCUAGUUUAUAAACUUUGACAAAAGUUGAAUCUACCUUAUUCAUCUACUUCUAGAGCAGGAACAUAAAUUCAUUAAUUUUCUCAGUCUAUUUUUUUUAUUCGUUUUUUUACUUUAGUUGAUCUAGAAGCAGUAAUGUAAUGUACCUGAGCACAUUUUAGGUAGAUGUUUAAUUCAUAUUGGGAAAAUUGUUCGAUUGUUAUUGGGUGAACCUUUACUGGUCUUAUGUUGCAUUCUGUUACAUCUGCUCAUUAUUAGGAGGAAUUGAAUUGAAUUUUUUGUCAUUGCUUUAUAUGCAGGUUCAAGAACAUAUUAUUACAGAGUCUAAUAAAUUAAUGAAAUCAAUUCAAGUCUUGCUGAAUGCCUUGA